GAGAGAGAGUUCAGCGUGGCUACACAGGACAUCUCAGACAUUUGCUCCACCCAAAGAGGAUAUGCAUGUGGAGCCUGUAGAAGGGCUGAAACUAUUCAACCUGAAUCACAACUUUUUCCCUGGUCGAGGGUGAAGUCCUGUCCGUGUCUAUGAAAUCACAUGGCAUUAUAAGAAUGCUUCAAAGAUGGCGGUUUGUGGUAACAGAGUGCAGAAAAGUGCAUGUUUGGAGGUGCUCGUACGGGAGCGAUGGCACGCGGUGCUGGCGAGUUUAAGCGACGAGUCGCUGACGCUCAGCUGCGAGGAGCCCGCGGCAGACACCAGCGUUAACCUGAACGGCAUCACCACCAACGGCUCCUACGACCAGCCGGACCCCACGAACAGUCCCAAAGCCGGAGUAUGGACUCCUUUUACGGAUUCACAAGUGCCCGAAGCGAUUGCGAACCGCAAAAGAUGUGUCAAAGUUAUCAAACAGGAGGUCGGUGGAUUAGGGAUAAGCAUCAAAGGCGGAAAGGAGAACAAGAUGCCUAUUCUUAUUAGUAAAAUAUUCAAAGGUCUGGCUGCGGAUCAGACUCAAGCGCUCUACGUGGGGGACGCGAUACUGUCCGUGAACGGGAUCAAUCUGCGGGACGCCACUCACGACGAGGCGGUGCAGGUGCUGAAGAAAGCAGGCAAAGAAGUUAUGCUGGAAGUGAAAUACAUGCGGGAAGCAACACCAUAUGUGAAAAAAGGCUCACCGGUGUCUGAGAUCGGCUGGGAGACGCCCCCUCCUGAGUCCCCUCGUCUCGGCAGUCCUCACUUCGAUGUCCCCAGCCCCCCCUCGCUGUCCUUACAGGGCGACCGCAGAUACAUCCCCCUCAAAAUGUGCUACAUCACCCGCAGUAUGACUGUCCCUGACCCAGAAAACAGGCAGAUAGAGCUGCACUCCUCUGACGCCAAGCACACAAUAGUCAUGAGACAUAAAGACACAGCUUCUGCCCAGACCUGGUUCACUCUCAUGCAAACUGCCAUCACAAACCUCACCAGCCAAGUCAUCAGUGAACUCCGAGAACACGCAAGCCGACACGGCAUCGCCGGGAGUCGAGAGAUCCGACACUUCGGCUGGCUAGCGGAAAAGACGGAAAGUGAAAGACAGCGAUGGAAGCCGGUGCUCGUGAUGUUGACGGAGAAAGACCUGCUGCUGUUUGACAGUAUGCCACGCAUGAGAGAACACUGGCUCAGCCCGACACACACCUACCCUCUGCUCGCCACACGGCUGGUGCAUUCUGGUCCAGAUAAGGGUUCACCACAGCCUGGUGGCGAGUUGUCCUUUGCUACACGAACAGGAACCAGAUUGGGUAUCGAAGCCCACCUCUUCAGAGCAGAGACCUGCAAGGACCUGUCACUCUGGACCAGACACAUAGUCACUGGCUGCCACGCAUCUGCCGAGAUGAUCAAAGAAGUCACUACCAAUUCUGACCUCGACAGACUCAACAGAGGAAAUGGACCAGAGAAAAUUUCCAUGUCAAAAAGGGCGGAGCCUACCUAUUAUGUUGUAUGUAUCAGGGUCAGGACUGCCGGUUGGUCAUUCACUAUGAGCGAGGUUUCUCUGUCAUAGCUGAUGGAGAGGACAGCUCUCUGGCACAGCCGCUUUUCAGCUACCCGUUUGAAAAGCUGAAGAUGUCGGCUGACGACGGCGUACGGAUCCUCUAUUUGGAUUUCGGUGGGAACGAGGGUGAAAUUCAACUGGACUUGCACUCCUGUCCCAAGCCUAUUGUUUUUAUCCUCCACUCCUUCCUUUCAGCCAAGAUUGCAAGAUUAGGAUUGGUAGCCUGAGAUUGAACUGUUACAGACUGAAACAGUGACGUGAUUAUUUCAACACUGAGAAGGGAAAUCCAGAAAGAGGUGGAACUCGCAAGACUGAGUGAGAGCGAUAAUGCGGAACUGACGUUGUAGCAAACCAGACCUCUGAAUGAUUUUAAUUACAUUUCAGUAAUGAUAAACUAUGUAUUUUUCAGAGAUAUAUUAAUUAUAGUGAAACACAAUUUCACAUUGAUUUUCUAAGGAAAAAAAAAAAAAAAUCAAACUAUAUAAUGAACACUAGCUUGUGAUUGGAACUAAAAAAUAAUACUGGAAGUAUUAUUAUAGAAUCCAAUACAGCAGAGUAUUCAGCACUUACAGUACCAUUAACUUCUAUAUAACGGUAGGGAAGGCAGCCAUCUGUAUGACAGCUGUCUGAGUAAUUGCAUCUGUCUGGCAGCUAAUGUGGAUUAAAGAAAGGCUAGUUUAAACCCUGUUAAUGCACAUAAAAGUUAAAACAUCUCGUUUAGUUUCUGGUACUUUCACUCGGGAUAUGCACUACACCGAUGGUUGAGCAGAAUCAACAAGGACAUUCUAGAGUGCUGGUCAUCAAAGAGGCAUGUCAACAAACUGUCUGCUUUCACAAGGCCUUUGUGACAAAAGGGGAAAUCGAGACAGGGUCAGCCCUCCCCUUCAGAACUGUAUCUGUUUCCACAGACAAAUGGAGUUUCGGUGACUUUUACAAACGUUUCACUUCCAAAAUUUGAAGUACUGCUGUAAACUUGUGACAUGCAAAAGAAAUCUUUAGUGACGCUGCCACAUUUGUGUAGUUGUUUUUUAAUAUUCAUCAGAAGAAUGUUCUCAAUUAUUGCUUGAUGUGCAUGCAUGCACACUAGCACAACAACUAUUGUGGAGGCUCAGAUUUUCUCUCGUUGGCCUGUGGUCAUAUGCACACACAAAGGCCAUUGAAGUACUUCGGAUGUCAGAUUAUAAAUUAGAGUACUUGAGAGUUUCCAAGUUAACCAGCAAUUAGUGUCCAUUGUCGGGCACUGAGCAUUCCCAGAGCACCGCUCCAUUGUAGGGGUUAUGGAUUUGGGGACAGCAGGGCCCCUGUGGCACAGCCUUUGUCUCAUCUGUGAAACCGUCCCUGCCACAUUCCAGCACACAUGACAGAUCCAGGAGUCAAAGGCCUGGGAAUUUGUUUUCCACAGUAAAUAGAUAGUUCAUUCUAAAAUGAAAAUUCUGUUGUUUACCACCCUCAAGUCAUUUUAAACUCUUGGAACACGAAAGAUGAUGAAUUUGAAGAAUGAUUCUGUCCAAAUUAUGAAAGUCAAUUCAAUUUUGAAAGCCCAAGACUUUCAAGCUCCAAAAGGACAUUUAGUCAAAUCGAUUAAUCGCGAUUAAUCACAUCUAACAUAAAAGUUUGUUUAUAUAAUAUAUAUAGUGUGAAGUUAUGCUGCGUUCAUGCCAUGCCGUAAUUACUAGAUCGCAAGCUGGAAUAUCCUUAAUAUAUUAUUCAUAUUAUGCAUUUGUAUGGAAACACUAUUAAAGGCAAAAUGAAUUGGAGUAAUUUGAGUAAGACAAACCACAAUACAAGUAACAGUGCUAACUCUUUACAAUAAGGUCUAGUUUGUUAACAUUAGUUAAUGUAUUAACUAACAUGAACUAAGAAUGAGCAAUACAUUUGUUACAGUAUUUAUUCAUCUUUGUUAAAGGGUUAGUUCACCCAAAAAUGAAAAUUGUCAUUAAUAACUCACCCUCAUGUCGUUUCACACCCGUAAGACCUUCGUUCAUCUUCAGAACACAAAUUAAGAUAUUUUUGAUCAAAUCCGAUGGCUCAGUGAGGCCUGCAUUGCCAGCAAGAUAAUUAACACUUUCAGAUGCCCAGAAAGCUACUAAAGUUAUAUUUAAAACAGUUCUUGUGACUACAGUGGUUCAACCUUAAUGUUAUGAAGCGACGAGAAUACUUUUUGUGUGCCAAAAACAAAAUAACGACUUUAUUCAACAAUAUCUAGUGAUGGGCGAUUUCAAAACACUGCUUCAUGAAGCUUUGAAGCUUUACGAAUCUUUUGUUUUGAAUCAGUGGUUCGGAGCGUGUAUCAAACUGCCAAAGUCAACCCCCAGUGCAAACUUCAAAACUUAUGACGUAAUGAAGCCUCGUUUACGGAAAUCACGUGACUUUCAAGCUCAGAACCACUGAUUCGAAACAAAAGAUUCAUGAAGCUUUAUGAAGCAGUGUUUUGAAAUCGCCCAUCACUAGAUAUUGUUGAAUAAAGUCGUUAUUUUGUUUUUUGGCGAUCGGAUUUUAUCAUCAGAUUUUAUCAAAAAUAUCUUAAUUUGUGUUCCAAAGAUGAACGAAGGUCUUACGGGUGUGGAAUGACAAUGACAGAAUUUUCAUUUUUGGGUGAACUAACCCUUUAAUGUUAGUUAAGAAAAAUACUGCUGUUCAUUGUUAGUUAAUGCACUGUGAACUAACAAACGUUAACAAAUACAACUUUAAACUAAGAUUAAUAAAUGCUGUAGUGGUAUUAUUCAUUCUUAGUUCAUGUUAACUAAAGUAGUUAACUAAUGAAACCUUAUUGUAAAGUGUUACUGUAUCGGUUAUGCAAAUGCCUUAUUAACAAACUUAUUUAGUGGAACAUUAGAUUAUUAAACUUUGUGCUAGAUACAUUAAACUAUAUUAUGUCUUGAUUAUUUUCAGAUUAUUCUUGCAUUAUUAAAAAAUGAAUAGUUAUUUAUUAAUAAUAAAUACUUAAAUAUGAAAUUACUAUGUUUUAUUGCUGCGGCUGCUGGUAUUCUGAGUGUUUCCACAUGGCAUUGCAGUUGUCAGGAGGUACAAGUCAGAGCUUUCAAGCUGUAAUUACAAGUUCUAGGAUGUAAAUGCUUUUUACAAGUCAUGAAUCUUGUAAUUACUGUAAUUUUGACAUGGUGUGAAUGCACCUUUAAUACAUACGACUUGACUGGUAUAUUUUGGUCUACUGAAGUGACUUAAUUACGCUGUAUGAUUCACUCUUAAACAAAUCAAAACACUGGUCAGUGCAAAUCCAAAUAUUGCCACAAAUAUUUGGAUCCCAUUGACUUUAAUAAUGUGGACAAAAACAUUCAAGAAAAAAUAAAUUUUUUUUUUUGUAUUGAGCAGAACAGUCAUACAGGUAUGGAAUGACAAGAGGGUGAGUAAAUGUGUUGAAUUAAUAAUUUCACACAAAAGGAUUAUAUAUAUUUUCAGAUUCUCCAACAAUAGCAGGUUCUACACACCAACUGCACGACUUCCGUAUUUUACUUUACUUCUACUGUUUAGGAAUAAUAACGUUAUUUGCAUCCUCAUUUUCAGUUUAAGUUUCAAUAAAUGGUCACUGGGAGGAAGUUUAGAGUUCUGAAAAUUACAGCAUGUUUUCAUAGUACAAUGAACUCUUAUGAAAAGAUCAAGGAACAUUCGAUUCCUCAUGAAAUGAACCCUUUUAUAUCAAGACGUCAGCACGAAGAACAAAGUGAGAUGUUUAAACACUGUAGAAGAGCUUAUCUUGUCAGAAAACAAGUCUGCAUUUGAAUAGUUUACCCACACAGGUCAAAAUACUGAUUCAAAGCUGGGGAAAAUGGAGUAUCACAAUGUAUCAAAAUAAACAGAACCCUAUUAAAAUAA